CUGUCAGCUUUUACUUGCUCUGCCUUGAGCUGGGACUGGAAGAUUCUCUGGCAGAAAUGGCAUGGUUCUCAGUAGGAACAUAGCCCCUGAGAGCUGGCAGAGCCUUCAAACUCUCUAUGGGGCCCCUUCCAUUUUCUUGAGUGACUCAGAUGCUACAUGGUUGAACUAAACCUGGCACUCUCCAUCAGGCACAAGGAUUGGUGUGUGGUUGACUGCCUGCAGUGAUGGCAACUAGUGAUCUGCCCAUCCCAGGACAUGUACGGCACUUCUAUCAAGAGGUGAAAUUUGUUUCCCCUAAACUUGAAUCUGGCCCUAGGACUUCCUCCGAUGAAUACAACAUGGCAAAAGCAAGGUUAUGCAAAUUGGAGCAUCUAGGUCUUAAGAUACCUGACGGUUUCCAUUUUCACUCUCUUAGGAUCCAGCAGCUAUGUGAAGAAAUGAUGAGUGAAAACCUGGACAGUGAGGACUCACCAGCUGCCAGCCAUUCUAGACAUCUGAGCUGAGGUGCCAGACACAUCACUGAAUCCAUCUUGCACAUUCUGGCCCCAGCUAAACUCCCAGCUGAAUGUAGACACAUGGGUGACCCCAGAUAACACCAUGUAUAGCAGAAGAACUUCGCAACUGAACUCAGCCAACCCACACAAUCAUUAACACAAUAAAUCGUUAAACAGAAUGGUGCUUUCCAAAGAAUGGGGGAAGGGGGGAAAAGGAAGUUGUUCAGUGCAUAUAAAGUUACAAAAGAAAGAUGAGAGGGAGACAGAAAAUGAAAGAGAGAAGAAGGAAGGAAAGAAAGAGAGAAAGAAAGGGAGGGAGGAAGGAAGAAAGAAAAGAAGGGAGAAAGAAAGAAAAUAAAUGCUCAGUGUAUUAAGCCACUUAAUUUGGGAGUGGUUUGUUACACAGCAAUAGCUAGCUGGUAGCUAUGGGAAAGGAAAAUGUAACAAGACCCCUGAUCAUCAUUUUUAUUGGGUAAAGCAGGUAAAGCCCAUAUUUCUUCCUUGCACAAAACUUUGUCCUCAAACCAGACCUUUGCCUCCAUAACCUUCUCUUUUCAACAUUCAAGAAAGCUUUGACUUGCCUUGUGUAAUUUUCAUUGUGUUGUUGUUUGCCACUUUAUUCCCUCCUUCCUCUGUCCAAAGGGAUUGGCCCUUCCACUCCUCUAGGAUAUGUCUGAACUCUCUACAUACCUUAAUUAUUUCAUGGGUCAUUGUGUAGUUAAGCCUUUUGUUCACCCGUCUGUCUCCCUCAUUUACCCAUAUUGUUACCUCCACAUCUUCAGCUUAAGAGCUGGCAGAGAGUCAGCACUCAAUUCAUGUUUGUUGAAUGAAUACAUGAAUGCAUCCUACCUCUACAUCUUUUUUCCCCGCCUGGCUUCCCUCUGCUUAUCAGCACCUUAUAUUUUAUCUUCUCCAUGAGAUCUUUCCUGAUGCUCUGACCACAGUAACCUCUUAUCCUACAGUUUAAGUGUAAAUCUAAUUAAACAUUAAACAUUAAAAUGAUGUUUAAUACAAACUCUCCCAUUCAGCUUUCAUGGCCACCAUGCAGCAAGGCUCAGCUCCGCUUCCAUAAGAAACAUCUCUGUCUCACUGAUGACAAUUCUGCAAUGGUGAGGGAGUUGGUGAUCUAAUUGGCCGGAGCCCAGAGCAUUCAUCCAACUCAUCACAUUGUUACUUCAGUAAUGUGUAAUUGUCUACUUCAAUAAAUCAUUACUGUGUCACAAAUAUGGUAUCCCAGGCUCCACCUUUGCCUCCUGCCUCCUGCUUUAGGCCUGGCCACUGAGGCAGAACUCAAUGGCCAUGAUCAACUUUUUCCUUCACCAAAUAUGCCUGAGAUGGUUAAGUGGACCAGUUGGAGGCUUGCACUCCCCUCUACAGUCACACUUCAGAGGAUGGAUCUCAAGAUUCAGAUUUUACAGGAUGGAAUGAAGGAAGGAUAUGUGUGGGUCCUCACUGCAGACCCAGAUCCCAGCCACAUGCUUCACCCACCUUAUAUCCAAGAGCCCUGUUGUGGUAAGCAGCCUCUAAGAUGGCCCCAAUAAUACUAUCUCUCAGUCUUUGCACUCUUGUAUAACCCCCUCCCACUAAGGAUGGGUUUCCCUGAUGGCAUGCUUCUAACCAAGAGUAUACAGCAAAGAUGCUACUUCCAUGAUUAGCUGCAUGAGAUUGUCGCUUUCAUCUUGCUAACCAACUCUUCCCUUGGGUGGCUUUGAUGAAGUGGGAUGCCACACUAGAGAGGUCCAGGUGACAAGGAACUGACAGUGAACUCUAUCCAACAGCCAGCAAGGAACUGGAUCUCUCAGUCUAAGAGCCUACAAGAAACUGAAACCCACCACUAACCAUGUCAGUGAGCCCCAGCGGAUCCUCCCCAAUUAAGCCUUCAGUUAAGAACACAGCCUCAGCUAACCCUUUGAUUUCUGCUUCAUGAAAGACCAUGAUACAGGGGACCCAGCUAAGCCAGGCCCAAAUUUCUGACCCACAGUGACUCUGAGACAAUAAGGGUAUGCUCUAUUAUACCACUACACAAUAGAUAAUUAAUGCAACUGCAUGAGGGGAUGAGCAUUCUUGCUUAGAUAUCAAUAAAGUACUAGAGUGAAUCCCAUUCUGUUACUGUGGGUAAAACUUCCUUUAGAAUCCAAUGGACAUGAGAAAUGAUAGGAAAGGUGGGAUUUGGCCAUCCACUAUCCUAAUAUUUUCAAAAUAACAUCCUAACUUUUGAUGGUAAGUAUUAUAAUCCCCACCUUAGAGUUAAGAAAAGUGAGGAUAAGACAGAUGCUGGAGUUUAUCACUUUUGCCUGUCCUCUAAUUCCAAAUACAGUGUUCCUUCCAUCCCAAUAGGACUGAAGCAUCACAUUGUUGCUUCAGAAUCCUUUUUUAUUAAAGUAUGGUUGAUUUACAAUGUUGUGCCAAAUUCUGCUAUACAGCAAAGUGACUCCGUCAUACACAGACACACACACACACACACACACACAUUCUUUUUCACAUGUUAUCUUCCAUCAUGGUCUUUCCCAAGAGACUGGAUAUAGUUCCCUGUGCUGUACAGUAGGACUUCAUUGCUUAUACAUUCUAAAUGUAACAGUUUGCAUCUACUAACCCCAAACUCCCAGUCCUUCCCGCUCCCUUCCCCCUCCCUCUUAGUAACCACGAGUAUGUUCUCUAUGUCUGUGAGGCUGUUUCUGUUUUGUAGAUAGGUUCAUUUGUGCCAUAUUUUAGAUUUCACAUGCAAGAAUCUUUAAGAAAGCCCCUGAGAGCUGGGACUUCAGGAGGUGUGAUUCUGUUCCCCACAGCACCCCGUAGGUGGAGGUGGUGCUGGUUGGUACCAAGGCAGAUGCCUGCAGUUGUCUUCCUAAUACUCCCCACAGCCUCCAUCUUUCAGGCAAGCCUUCCCAAUGCCACCUGCAACAUCUUUUAAAGAAAUACUUCAACAUGACCCAAAUAAAGCAGUUCAAAUUGGAGCUAUCUUCUGAAUGUAAAAUGAUCCAGCUAUUUAAUAUAGAUUGUUUUACAACAUUAAUAAAGUUGAGUGUUCUGGGAAGUGCCUUUUAAGUGCACCUGGUCUAAGUCCAAAGUUCUAGAAAGCUUUUAGCUUAAAUGCAAACCCACUGAAAAUGCGAUCCAUGCCAGCAUUAAGGGGAUGUCCAGGAGAAUGGGUAGGAUUCGAAGAGCCUAGGAAUUGGAGUUCCCAUUGUGGUUCAGUAGGUUAAGAAUCUGACAUAGUGUCCGUGAUGUGGGUUUGAUCCCUGGCCUCGAUCAGUGGGUUAAGGGAUCAAAGUUUGUAUUGCCGCAAGCUGUGGUAUAGGUGGUAAUGCAGCUUGGAUCUGGUGUUGCUGUGGCUGUGCUAUAGACCAGCAAGCUUAGGGAGUAGAAACUAGGGAGGCCAGGUGGGAAGUCCAAAAGAAAAUGGAAGGUAACUACUGCUUGCCUGCCACUGAAUUCAACUCAAGAAGCAAGGUAAAAAGAAGAACUUGAAUUUCAUAAAAAAUAAAAUUUAUUUGGAACCCAGUCAUCUGUGACUCACCAUGACUGUGAGCAAGUCAAUCUCCUCUGAAGUCAGUGGAGAUAACACUGAUUUGGUAGGUACUUAGCCCACCAAGUUGUUGUGGAAAACAAUCCAGGAAAGGUGGCCAGCAGUGUUUUGUGAACCGUGAGAUGCUGUCCAUAUGUGAGAUAUUGUUAGCACCCGAGCAGCAGCUGCUGCUAUGGCUGUAGUGAUCAAAAUAGCAGCAAUAAAACAAGGUAAUACUCCUUAGUAGAACACUCUGGAUUUUCCCCGCAAGUAAUAUAUGCUCUCUGACUGAACAUCGCUUCCUGAGAACUCUAAGUGAGGAUGGGCCCAGUUCCUGUCAGGAGACAGGGAUCACACCAGUAUUUUAACAGAGAAAUUUUAUUACAAAGACUUGUUAUCUUGAUAUAAAGGUUAAGGUGGUAAUUGAGGUAACCCAGUGAACUUCCUGAUUGGCCUGGGACCAGGUGGGUUGCUAGGAUGUGGGACCAUCAGCCCUCACAAGGUUCUGCCCUCUCGGCUCCUGCCCUCUGACCCUCUUAUUGGUAGGGUCACUUCUCUGCCCUCCCCAGCACUGUGACAUCACCCAGGAACCAUCCAGGGCUCUGGCAGUGACAUAUGCGACCCUGACACUCAGUCAUGUCUUGUGGACCUCUCCCAGGGAGACUUGCUGCCUGCUUUGCAAACUUCUAGACGGCUGGGCAGAGAGGAGCAUUAGACAGCUUUAAAAAUUGAUGAGGGUGAUUAUUCUUUCAUGAGCUACUGCCAAUCCAGCGGCACAAGGCCAAAGGCAUGCACAGUGCAUCAUGGCUCAAUGGUUAAUGAAGCUGUCUAGUAACCAUGAGGUUGCGGGUUCGAUCCCUGGCCUCACUCAGUGGGUUAAGGAGCUGGCGUUGCCAUGAGCUGUGGUGUAGGUCGCAGAUGCGGCCUGGAUACCACAUUGCUGUGGCUAUGGCGUAGGCCAGCAGCUGUAGCUCCGAUUAGACCCCUAGCCUGGGAACCUCCAUAUGCCGGGGGUGCGGCCCUUAAAAAAA
rnacentral:lncRNA from 1 species